rnacentral:rRNA from 1 species
UACGGAGGAUCCAAGCGUUAUCCGGAUUUAUUGGGCUUAAAGGGUGCGUAGGCGGCCUGUUAAGUCAGGUGUGAAAGACGGUAGCUCAACUAUCGCAGUGCCCUUGAUACUGAUGGGCUUGAAUGGACUAGAGGUAGGCGGAAUGAGACAAGUAGCGGUGAAAUGCAUAGAUAUGUCUCAGAACACCGAUUGCGAAGGCAGCUUACUAUGGUCUUAUUGACGCUGAGGCACGAAAGCGUGGGGAUCAAACAGG